UGCGUAGGCGGAAGAUUAAGUCAGUAGUGAAAUCCUGCAGCUCAACUGUAGAACUGUUAUUGAUACUGAUCUUCUUGAAUACAGUUGAGGUAGGCGGAAUAUGUAAUGUAGCGGUGAAAUGCUUAGAUAUUACAUAGAACACCGAUUGCGAAGGCAGCUUACUAAACUGUGAUUGACGCUGAGGCACGAAAGCGUGGGGAGCAAACAGGAUUAGAUACCCUGGUAGUCC
rnacentral:rRNA from 1 species